GACGAACGCUGGCGGCGUGCUUAACACAUGCAAGUCGAACGAAGUGGCGAACGGGUGAGUAACGCGUAAUCAACCUGCCCUUCAGAGGGGGACAACAGUUGGAAACGACUGCUAAUACCGCAUACUGAAGGAGGGGAUUGCGGCUGAUUAGCUAGUUGGAGGGGUAACGGCCCACCAAGGCGAGGAUCAGUAGACCGGCGGAGAGGAGGAACGGCCAAAUUGGGACUGAGACACGGCCCAGACUCCUACGGGAGGCAGCAGUGGGGAAUCUGCCGCAAUGGACGAAAGUCUGACGGAGCAACUCCGCGGGAGGGAUGACGGCCUUCGGGUUGGAAAGCUCUGUUAAUCGGGACGCGGUACCGGAAUAGAAAGCCACGGCUAACUACGUGCCAGCCGCCGCGGUAAUUC
rnacentral:rRNA from 1 species